UACGGAGGGAGCGAGCGUUGUUCGGAAUACUGGGCGUAAAGCGUGCGCAGGCGGAUUUUCAAGUCAGGAGUGAAAUCCCAGGGCUCAACCCUGGAAUUGCUCUUGAAACUGGAUGUCUCGAGUCUCGGAGAGGUUGGCGGAAUUCCCAGUGUAGCAGUGAAAUGCGUAGAUAUUGGGAGGAACACCAGUGGCGUAAGCGGCCAACUGGACGAGUACUGACGCUCAUGCACGAAAGUGUGGGGAGUCAAACAGG
rnacentral:rRNA from 1 species